AUCUAACGAGUCCCAAACGGGACGAAACGCGCGUCUUAGAU
rnacentral:hammerhead_ribozyme from 1 species